rnacentral:misc_RNA from 1 species
UCAAAAGUGAACGGAAACGUCUAUGCUCAAAGUGUGAUAGACAAAUCUACAAUGAUAUGACUGGAGCACAUCCGAAAUCUAAAGAUAAAACGAAAAGAAAAGGCUCCUCAACUCGAAAUGAUUGUUGCAUAUUAUUAUAAUAGUUGACAAGAUGGAUAAGUUGAUUUAAUUUUAAACAAAGGUAUUUGAAAACUUGAUUAAGUCGGUUUAAUUCCACACAUUAAAGUUAAAAAAAAAACUGAAUGCAAGUCAAAUUGAUGAAUUAAAAAAUUACGACUUAAUUAUCACUAUGAUUCUACCGCUUAUUUACUGGUUAUGACAGGAGUGGUAAUGUUAUAUAAAGAGUGUGAUAAUUAUCAAAAACAUAAAAUAAUUGUUAUAAAACAGUUACUGUUGAACAGAAUUCUAUUAUUUUUCAGAUGUUGAACAUAUGGUUAAUGCUUUUUAUUAUGUAGUAGUUGUAUAUGUAUUUAUGUUAAUUUUAGAUUUAUAUACAGAUAAACCAUUAUGUAUUCC